GCCUGGCUGGCUCAGUCGGAAGAGCAUGUGAUUCUUGAUCUCUCGGUCAUGAGUUCAAGCCCCAUGUUGGGUG
rfam:Felis catus isolate Cinnamon breed Abyssinian chromosome B3, whole genome shotgun sequence.